UUAUACUACAUCCGUCUCAUUUUAAGUGUAACCAUGGGUCGUCUGUCUUAUUUAAAAUUAUUUUAUAAUUAGUAUUUUUGUUGCUAUGAGUUGAUACAAUAUGAAUAGUACUUUACUCAUAAUUUAUGUUUUUAAAUUUUUUCAAAAAAUUUUCAAAUAAGAUGGACGAUCAAAGUUAGACGUGAAAAACCAUGGUUGUACUUGAA
rfam:Oryza barthii chromosome 8, whole genome shotgun sequence.